UUCUAGCCCUUGCCCGAUUCACUUCCUCGUUCGAUCUUUCGCUGUGUCGUGUCGUCCUUCUUUGAUCAUUGGAGCCAGUAUCUGUAGUUGCGGAUUGAAGCUAUGUACUCCUCGAACGCAUCUGAUGGCUACCCACAGAAGCCCAGCGCCUCCGCUCCGCCACCGCCGCCGCCCGUGGAUGGCAUUCCGGUGCAACCCAUGAUCCAAAGUUAUGUGAAUUUUGGGGCCCCGAACAAUCCUCUGCCCACUGCGGGUCUUCAAGCUCGACCCAUUAACAGCAUGCCUUGGUCCUCCGGGCUUUUCAGUUGCUUCGACGACGUUCCAACUUGUUGCUUGUCAUUUUGGUGCCCUUGAAUCACAUUUGGGUGAAUCGCGGAGAUUGCUGAUCACAGAUCGGUUUGCAAGUAGAAUCAAUUGCGUUCGCACAAAUUGAAGAAGGAUCGACAUAAGUAGACUUGCUUACUCAGGUCGGUUUUUGUUGCAGCAUAACCUGUUCACGGAGCUAUUUACACGGUGAUCGCCUUGUUGACCGGGUGCGCCUGCUGCUACUCCUGCUUCUACCGCACCAAGACGAGACAGCAAUACCAGUUGCAAGAGGAUCCUUGCGCUGAUUGCUUAGUCCAUUUUUGCUGCGAAUCCUGCGCUUUAACCCAGGAGUACACGAGGUAAGAGAAUUAUAUUAUUGGUAGAUGUUGCCCUUAAUCAGCGACAGGACUCUAGCGCCUCAUGCUGCUUUCCACCUUUGGAGCCAUUGCCACUUCUCUAUGUUGGCUGGCAUUUCCUUCCCAUCCUACACACCAAUCCAACCAUUUUAAGUCAGUACUUAAUCGACACUUAGAAGACUAGUAUGUACACUACUUUGAAAGCUAGCCGACACAAAGAUAUUGGAGAGGAAUUGGUGUUUACCCUUCUCCAUGUUGAGUCCGCGGCUCUUGAGCUCUCAGUACCCUUGACAAAGUGCGCAGUGCAUGCGGCAGCAGUGGACUAAGCAGUCAUCCCACGGAUCUUCCUUAACCCGAAUUCUCAUCUCAGUUUGGUUCGGUAGGUGAAUGCCCAGAGGCAUGCGCACAGAGUCAGACAGUAGAUCAGCAUGAAGAUUGCACAGUUAGCGCAGCAAGCUGCAAUCCAAGCUUGGAUAAGUAAGUGAGAAAUUUAUAAUUAGCCUUUGUCUGGUCUUUGGUAAUCAAUUAGCCUUUCUCACGGGGAAAAUCAAUCUCCUAUAAUUUCUGAAUAAGUUGUCAAAUCGGGAUAAGUUCAUAAAAGUUGACAUCACAUGUCCAAUGUUCAACUCUAA